CUCCUCCCUUCAUUCCUCCUUCCCUCCUUCCCUCAGAGAUCAGUCUGCUGGUGUGAUGAACCCUAUGGUGCAGAGUUUGUUCGCCAGUGCUCAAAGCCAGGUCACAGAGACAGGCUCGAGCAUGUCAAAGAGGAAGAAGUGAAGGUCAACGGAUGUCACCGGAUGUCUUUGGGUGUAUCCAUAUGUCUCUGGAUGUAUCCGCUAUGUCUCUGGAUGUAUCCGCUAUGUCUGUGGAUGUUGCUGGUGCAGAGAUUGUCGUUCGUUCCCUGUGACAGAAUCUUUUGUGUCAUCUGUGGACCUUUGUCUUUUCUCUUUAGUUUGUCUGUUUGUUGUAGUGUCGUCAGUGUGCUUGUGACCUGUGAGUUGGUCCGUCUGUCUGUCUGUUGUAGUGUCAUCAGUGUGUCUGUGACCUGUGAGUUGGUCCGUCCGUCUGUCUGUUGUAGUGUCGUCAGUGUGUCUGUGACCUGUGAGUUGGUCCGUCUGUCUGUCUGUUGUAGUGUCGUCAAUGUGUCUGUGACCUGUGAGUUGGUCCGUCUGUCUGUCUGUUGUAGUGUCGUCAGUGUGCCUGUGACCUGUGAGUUGGUCCCGUGGGGAUGCUGAGGUCUGUGGAAAGUUCUCCCAGUUUAUCCGUGGACUUGACCGGAUGUGCUGACACCAAAUAUGAUUGUAUUUUAUUCUCUGUCUCCCUGGGGACAUGUACAAAGACAGCAGUAGGGCAGACAGGGCAACUUGGAGGAAAUGCUCGUCUGUCAAAGGAUCACUGGGACUUUCCCUGCAGGAAACAUCUUGGAGUAAAACUUGAAAUAUUUCUUGUAUUUGUUGUGUAGAGAAUGUGGCUGUGGUCCAGAGAUCUCGAUACCUCAACAGUCCGUGAAUGUGGCUGUGGUCCAGAGAUCUCGAUACCUCAACAGUCCGUGAAUGUGGCUGUGGUCCAGAGUUCUCGAUACCACAACAGUCCGAGAAUGUGGCUGUGGUCCAGAGAUCUCGAUACCUCAACAGUCCGAGAAUGUGGCUGUGGUCCAGAGAUCUGGAUGCCUCAACAGUCCGUGGCCAAUCUCUUCACUGUUUGUUUUUCUCAAAAAAGCGUGCCAGUUUUUGAGAGAAUAUAUUUUUGUUCUGCAGAAUUGUACCUAAUUGUUUUAAUGAGCGUGAAAGAAAAGAGCUAGACAUUGUGUCUGAUUUGUGCCCUUUUAUUGUUCCUUCAAGUAUGCAAAUAAAUUAUGUCUAAUGUAGUGUAAUGAAA